rnacentral:lncRNA from 1 species
GUGGCUGUGGGGACGUCUGAUGGUUAGAAGCUCAAACAAAAUAAAACAUAUCUAAGACAAUAAUGGCACAAAGGACGAUGGCGAACGCUGUAGAUAUAUUAAUAUGUUGGGGAAAUGACGACGAAAUGGCAAAUUAUGGUCAGUUGAAUGCAUAAUGAUGGUUAAGGUAAAUGGAAUGAAAUAUGAAGAUAGACACUGGUCUGUUUAAAGUGCGUAUGACAUGAAAUUUCUUAUUUUCUUAAAUGAAAGAACUCUUUAAGCUGUAGUGUGACUUAUUUUUUAGUUUCAUGAUUUUAUGGUUUGUUUCCGAGACAUUUCAAUUUGUUUGAUAUGUAAAUUAGUGUGAAUAUGUCCGCUAAUUUAUGACGUCACUUUGGUUGCAAGCUCAACUUACAUUGGUUAGAAAUCUAUUAACUCUAAAAACUGUAGAUAUCAGUUCACGUUUUUCUCCAGUGUUUCAUCACAUUUACCAGUGAGUGAAGUUUGAAAUUAUCAUCUUGUAUGAUAGCAGUGAUAUUCAACCAUUUUGUAGAGCUUGCAACCAACAUGACGUCAUAAAUUAGCGGACAUAUUCACACUCAUUUACAUAUCAAACAAAUUGAAAUAUCUCGGGAACAAACAAUAAAAACAAGAAACUGAAAAAUAAGUUACACUACAGCUUAAACAGUUCUUUCAUUUAAGAAAAUAAGAAAUUUCAUGUCAUAUACAUUAAGAAACUGGACGAUGCCUUGUCGCCAGUCUCGACGAGAAAUGAAAACCGGGAAGGGUUCUUCUCUCCCGCCACGGUGUAUAUAGCGUCUCGAGGUACCGUACGUUGACGAAGGGUUGACGAAGGGUUUAUGAAGGAAUGGCGGAUUUAGGGGAAUGAAAUAGGCGUUAUUUUUUGCUUCCGUGAAAUUUUGGGAAUCGUUUCCUUGAGUUCGUGAAUUUUUAUUGGUUUGGUGUAUCGAAAUGGUGCUGCAAAAUAAUUUGAAGUUCUUGGCGAACCACACGCGCAGCUUAAAUAUGGAAUGAACAUACCCGAACAAGAAUUGUGUGAACAGUGAUUUCAUAUUUUCACAGACCGUGGAAAUCCACCGAAUCCACCGUUUUACAACCUCUGGGAAGACGGCCAGAAAGCUAUGAAACUACGAAUAUAUCAGUGACUCCAUAUUUAUCUAGAGCGAGAACUCGAGUCCAAAGACUGAAGCCAAAGACGGAGCUAUUGGACGUCAGCUUCAGUCCCUUUCUAUUGCUUUUAUCUGCGCGGUUUGCAAGGAGUGUGCUGAGCUCCGAUUUAGAGAAUAGUACCAUGGUUUUACGAGCUGAUAAUUGGGUUAGCCAUUCGGUCCUAUAUAAGAAACUGGUAUUAGCUCGAAAAAUGGGAUUACGACCUUCAAAGCUAUAUUGGACGUAUUAGCCUUUCUGACGAUGACGAUUAUCUGCUAUUUUUUGGUGGCAUCUAAUUCUCGUUAACCAAUGCAGACAAUUAAAACAAUGUGAAAAGCGAUUUUUCAAAAUAAACUAACCAUUUACAAC